AUGUGGAGCAGCGACAACGUCCCUGUGGAGCAACAACGUCCAUGUGGAGCAACAACGUCCCUGUGGAGCAACAACGUCCCUGUGGAGCAACAACGUCCAUGUGGAGCAGCGACAACAUCCCUGUGGAGCAACAACGUCCAUGUGGAGCAACAACGUACCUGUGGAGCAACAACGCCCCUGUGGAGCAACAACGUCCCUGUGGAGCAACAACGUCCAUGUGGAGCAACAACGUACCUGUGGAGCAACAACGUCCCUGUGGAGCAACAACGCCCAUGUGGAGCAACAACGCCCCUGUGGAGCAACAACGUCCAUGUGGAGCAACAACGUCCAUGUGGAGCAACAACGCCCCUGUGGAGCAACAACGCCCCUGUGGAGCAACAACGUCCAUGUGGAGCAACAACGUCCAUGUGGAGCAACAACGUCCCUGUGGAGCAGCGACAACGUCCCUGUGGAGCAGCGACAACGUCCCCUGUGGAGCAGCGACAACGUCCCUGUGGAGCAACAACGCCCCUGUGUAGCAGCGACAACGUCCCUGUGGAGCAACAACGUCCCUGUGGAGCAACAACGUCCCCUGUGGAGCAGCGACAACGUCCCUGUGGAGCAACAACGUCCCUGUGGAGCAGCGACAACGUCCCUGUGGAGCAACAACGUCCCCUGUGUAGCAGCGACAACGUCCCUGUGGAGCAACAACGUCCCUGUGGAGCAACAACGUCCAUGUGGAGCAGCGACAACGUCCCUGUGGAGCAACAACGUCCCUGUGGAGCAACAACGUCCCUGUGGAGCUUUCUCCCUCCUCAUCUUGCUGAACGCCGUUGUAAGACCGGUCUCACCUCACACCCUCAUGUAGAGGGGACCUUUGCUCCAGAGACUGCUUCACACACACAUUCUGCUGAAUGUCUUUUGCAAGAUCUGCAACCCUCCCUGAGCUGCUCUGAUGAAGAGCUUAGUGAUGCAUCAGCAGACCAAAGAGCUCCUCUGACUUCUCUGGAUUGGAGCAUUCACAAUGCUCUCUUUUCUGAGAGAUGGAGGGAAAAGAGACCAUCUCUUCUUAGUAGCAUGCUGGCCAAGGAGAGCGUGGCAACAAAUGGCUGGUUGUAAAUGUAAAUAUUACCUUGUAGGACGGUAUGAUCUCAACAUGCCUGAGCUGACCUGCGAGGGAUGCCCGGCAACUUGGACUGCAGGACUUGAUGACCUGAUAAAAACUGGAUACUGACCUGCCACCCUUCAUUUUGUAACAAUUUAUGAGACAGACCUGUUUUAUACGUUUGAAGACAUGAAGAUGGCAUCACCCGGGAUGUCUUUUCAGGCAUAUCUAAGAAUGCUUGAGAAGCGGACUGCUCGCUUUGGCCGUGUAAGUAUUUCUCUAUAUGUUUGUGUUUUGAAAUGGAAAGGUCUUUGUUUAAAAAAUUGUUUUGUGCUUUUUUCUUUUUACAUAGACUGGGAAGAUCUCAUCAGACAGCUUCCAAAAAAGCUUUUUUUGAAUGGGCUGCUGUACAAUAUGAGGUUGACUCCACCUGCAAGGAGGAGAAAUUCAUCUGUCCUGCCUGUACCCCAGCAAUGCUUUCUGUCUCGGUGGAUGGAAACCGCAAGCGUUACCGCUUCAAAAGUACUGCAAGGUAUACAAUAAUGUACAGAUAGAUAGUUAGGUUUUAUACAACAAGUAACCUUUCGAUGUAUGACAUGUUAAAAAGAUAGUUAAGGUGUUUUGAAGUGGGGUUGUAUGAGGUACUUAUCCAUGGUCAGUCUGUUACCUACAGCAGACAAUGGUCACCGCCACCCAUCCCCUGCCUCUAUUGUGGAGAAGCAGAAAAAUGUGUUUUAGCCACAUAUAAAAGACCCACCUGAAAAAAAACCCAAUAUCCAGGAUUGUAGUUGUGGUUAGAUGUAGAAAUAUGCAUUUCUACAGUUGAGACAAUGUAGUGCCAAGGAAAAGGGCUGUCUGAACACUGUGUACUGUAGGUAACACACUUACUAUGGAUAAGUACCUUAUACCAUCCCACUUCAGAGUACUCAACUAUCCUUUUAAACAUUGAAGCCUUUUUAUUUCUUGUUGUUUUUUUAGAUCUCAGGAGCGGGCCAUCUUUGACGGUGUCUUCAUUGCAAAAGAUGACGAUGUGACCAGAUUUGUGGAUCACAUCCACAGCAAAAAUAAACAUGUAAUAGCAGACUUCAAUUUAUAUCUCAAUAUAACAUUAUAAUUCAUAGUCUGUCAGUACUCCCAUGUAUUGUGAUAUCUACCUGUAUACCUAAUUGUUCUUAAUCUGCUAACACUUAUCUGUUCCUUGUCCCCUAAGAGAAAUGUAUAAUUGUUCCCUGUAAUGACUGUUGAUGGGAUUAUUUGUCAAUUAUGAUUUUCUACAAUGUAGGGCACUGGAAGGAGCAAUUGUGGUGGGGAGUGGUCAGCUGCCAGAGAGACCAAUCAGUAAGGUGGAUGAGGAGGGACUGGAGCUGGCAGUGUGCAGGCAUGAUGUCUUGCUGGCUGCCCUUAAUAUGUUUGUACAUGCUAAAGCGCAUGACUUCAAAUGUGAGGUUAGUAUAAUACAGUACAUUUUUAUCAAAUGACUUGCAAUCCUAUAAAUGAUGCAUAUAAAUGUGU
rnacentral:lncRNA from 1 species